rnacentral:rRNA from 1 species
UACGAAGGGUGCAAGCGUUACUCGGAAUUACUGGGCGUAAAGCGUGCGUAGGUGGUGAGUUAAGUCUGUCGUGAAAGCCCCGGGCUCAACCUGGGAAUGGCGAUGGAUACUGGCUCGCUAGAGUGCGGUAGAGGAGAGUGGAAUUCCCGGUGUAGCAGUGAAAUGCGUAGAGAUCGGGAGGAACAUCAGUUGCGAAGGCGGCUCUCUGGACCAGCACUGACACUGAGGCACGAAAGCUAGGGGAGCAAACGGG